CGUACUCAGUUCGGAUUGUAGUCUGCAACUCGACUACANGAAGCUGGAAUCGCUAGUAAUCGCGAAUCAGAAUGUCGCGGUGAAUACGUUCCCGGGUCUUGUACACACCGCCCGUCACACCAUGGGAGUCAGAAAUGCCCGAAGUCAGUGACCCAACCGAGAGGAGGGAGCUGCCGAAGGUGGAGCUGGUAACUGGGGUGAAGUCGUAACAAGGUAAC
rnacentral:rRNA from 1 species